rfam:Oryza nivara chromosome 1, whole genome shotgun sequence.
UUUGAGUGCAACUAUAAGUUUCCAAUUUUGAUCGUUCAUUUUAUUUGAAACUUUUUUUAAUUAGUAUUUUUGUUAUUAUGAGAUGAUAAAAUAUAAAUAAUACUUUACUCGUGACUUAUGUUUUUAAUUUUCUUUUUUAAAAAACUAUUUAAAUAAGAUAAACCGUUAAAGUUGGGCACGAAAAACUAUAACUACACACUUACA